rnacentral:misc_RNA from 1 species
GAAAUGCGAUAAGUAGUGUGAAUUGCAGAAUUCAGUGAAUCAUCGAAUCUUUGAACGCACAUUGCGCCCUUUGGUAUUCCUUAGGGCAUGCCUGUUCGAGCGUCAUUUACACCUUCAAGCUCUGCUUGGUGUUGGGCGUCUGUCCCUGCCCCCUGGGGCGUCGGGACUCGCCUCAAAUCGAUUGGCGGCCGGUACCGUUGGCUUUGAGCGCAGCACACCAGCGACCUCAUCGCCGGAGCGUAUCGGCUCCCAGGAAGCCCAUUUUCUCAUGUUUUGACCUCGGAUCAGGUAGGGAUACCCGCUGAACUUAAGC